AGCCUGAACUGUAAACUCGCUCACUGAAAAGAGAGGAGAGGAAACAAGGACGACACUAGUCCAGACCAAGAUCCGACAAGAGAAGAGAGGAGACAGCAUGAACUGUGAACUCGCUCAUUUUAAAAGAGAGAGGAGAGGAAACGAG